AUACGAAGGGGGCUAGCGUUGUUCGGAAUUACUGGGCGUAAAGCGUACGUAGGCGGACUGAUCAGUUGGGGGUGAAAUCCCAGGGCUUAACCCUGGAACUGCCUUCAAUACUGUCAGUCUUGAGUUUGGGAGAGGUGAGUGGAAUUCCUAGUGUAGAGGUGAAAUUCAUAGAUAUUAGGAGGAACACCAGUGGCGAAGGCGGCUCACUGGCCCAUUACUGACGCUGAGGUACGAAAGCGUGGGGAGCAAACAGGAUUAGAAACCCCAGUAGUCC
rnacentral:rRNA from 1 species